GCCGGAAUAGCUCAGCUGGGAGAGCAGCAGACUGAAGUGAACCUUGCUUUCUGAAGGUCGGGCGUUCGAUCCGCCCUUCUGGCA
rnacentral:tRNA from 1 species